CCCUUAGAUGUUCUGGGCCGCACGCGUGCUACACUGAACGGUUCAAUGGGUAAGGUAGUGCGAAAGCAUGACCUAAUCUCGAAAUCCGUUCGUGCUGGGGAUAGAAGCUUGCAAUUAUCCUUCUUGAACGAGGAAUACCUUGUAAGCGUGAGUCAUCAUCUCACGCUGAAUACGUCCCUGCCCUUUGUACACACCGCCCGUCGCUCCUACCGAUUGAGUGUUCCGGUGAGGCUUUGGGAGAAUGGCCUCAACAUGAGUUUAUCGUGUUUUGCCGUUUGAACUUAGUCAAACCUUAUCACUUAGAGGAAGGAGAAGUCGCAACA
rnacentral:rRNA from 1 species